CCUACGGGGCGCACCAGUGGGGAAUAUUGCACAAUGGGCGCAAGCCUGAUGCAGCCAUGCCGCGUGUAUGAAGAAGGCCUUCGGGUUGUAAAGCACUUUCAGCGGGGAGGAAGGCGGUGAGGUUAAUAACCUCACCGAUUGACGUUACCCGCAGAAGAAGCACCGGCUAACUCCGUGCCAGCAGCCGCGGCAAUACGGAGGGUGCAAGCGUUAAUCGGAAUUACUGGGCGUAAAGCGCACGCAGGCGGUCUGUCAAGUCGGAUGUGAAAUCCCCGGGUUCAACCUGGGAACUGCAUUCGGAACUGGCAGGCUAGAGUCUUGUAGAGGGGGGUAGAAUUCCAGGUGUAGCGGUGAAAUGCGUAGAGAUCUGGAGGAAUACCGGUGGCGAAGGCGGCCCCCUGGACAAAGACUGACGCUCAGGUGCGAAAGCGUGGGGAGCAAACAGGAUGAGAUACCCGUGUAGUC
rnacentral:rRNA from 1 species